rnacentral:rRNA from 1 species
ACGCUCGACACCUACGGGAGCAGCAGUGGGGAAUAUUGCACAAUGGGGGAAACCCUGAUGCAGCGACGCCGCGUGAGCGAAGAAGUAUUUCGGUAUGUAAAGCUCUAUCAGCAGGGAAGAAACUGACGGUACCUGACUAAGAAGCACCGGCUAAAUACGUGCCACAGCCGCGGUAAUCUGAGCGGGCUGGCAAGGC